rfam:Salmo salar isolate Sally breed double haploid chromosome ssa09, whole genome shotgun sequence.
GAAUGAACAAACUGUAAGUUGCUCUGGAUAAGAGCGUCUGCUAAAUGACAAACA